UAAUAAAAUGUAUGAUGGGCCAAAAUAAACUGAGUCUUUAGGCCCGUUAGCUAACUGCAUUUGAGACCUGAGUUUGAGCAUUUGAGGGAUCGAGGCCUGUUAGCUUUGCCGUGGUUUUCUAGAAGCCGCCGCUCAGUUUGCCGUGGUUUUCUAGCCUCUAGGAGAAGCCGCCGCCGCCCCCAACUGCAGGCUGCAGGCGCUGCUCCUUUCGCCCUCCGCUAGCGAGCGAAUCGCUGGCUCGAGGCGGCACUCCGGCUGGCGGGCGUCGGGCCGUCGGCUGCUGUCCACGGCUGUCGACAAGCAAGCACCGUCCAGCGUCCACCUCGGCACCUCCUGUUCGGCUGUUCCUAGCCGCUGGCUGAGAAGCUAAUUAGCCAAGACCCAAGAAGCGAGCAGGCAAGCAGCCACGAAGACGAAGAUAAAUGAGGAGAUUUUUUCAACCACUUUCAAGGGGGUCCGCAAUUGGUGGUCAGGAUAAUAAUAAUGCCAAUAAUGUCAAUAAUUAAUGGUUUGCUACACUGAGAAAGAGAUCUUCAAAUCCGUUGAUGAUGAGGUUAUUAUUCGACGAUUUCAACGUCUCAAAACUAGAAGGAUGCAAUUGCCUCGGUCAACAAGAACUUAACGGCAUGUUUGCUUUUUUUAUAUGGUUUUUUCUUUAAAUUUUGUAUCAUGUAUUGAUAUAAAACUUGAAUUUUAUGCGACAAUAGUUGUUUACGGUAUGGCUUGAUUUUAUCAUGUGAUUUUUUGGCC